rnacentral:tRNA from 1 species
AGCAGCGUGGCUCAGUGGAAAGAGCCCGGGCUUGGGAGUCAGAGGUCAUGGGUUCGAAUCCCGGCUCUGCUC